rnacentral:rRNA from 1 species
CUAGCGACUUCAGAGUUUGAUCCUGGCUCAGGAUAAACGCUGGCGGCGUGCAUAACACAUUCAAGUCGAACGGACUUAAUGGCGAGCUUGCUCAAAAUUAAGUUAGUGGCGGACGGGUGAGUAACGCGUGAGCAACCUGCCUAUCAGUGGGGAAUAACGUUUGGAAACGAACGCUAAUACCGCAUAAUGUAUUUUGAUCGCAUGUUCGAAAUACCAAAGAUUUAUUGCUGAUAGAUGGGCUCGCGUCUGAUUAGGUAGUUGGUGAGGUAACGGCUCACCAAGCCGACGAUCAGUAGCCGGACUGAGAGGUUGAACGGCCACAUUGGAACUGAGAAACGGUCCAG